GACGAACCGUGCAAACGUUGUUCGGAAUCACUAGGCUUAAAGGGCGCGUAGGCGGGCAAGCAAGUCCGGGGUGAAAUCUUUCGGCCCAACCGGAAAAGGGCCUUGGAUACUGCUUGUCUGGAGGGAGGUAGGGGCAGACGGAACUUCCGGUGGAGCGGUGAAAUGCGUUGAUAUCGGAAGGAACGCCGGUGGCGAAAGCGGUCUGCUGGACCUCUACUGACGCUGAGGCGCGAAAGCCAGGGGAGCGAACGGG
rnacentral:rRNA from 1 species